rnacentral:rRNA from 1 species
GAUUCCCCUAGUAACGGCGAGUGAACAGGGAUUAGCCCAGCACCGAAGCCUGCGUCCGUUUGGGCGUUGGGCAAUGUGGUGUUUAGGUUGAUGCGUUGGAGAGUUGCUUUGUUCCAAGUCCAAUCAUGAAUAUGGCUUUAGCAUGGCCCAGAGAGGGUGAAAGGCCCGUGUGGACAGAGCGGCACUCUACUGCGUUGACUUUGGAGUCGGGUUGUUUGAGAAUGCAGCCCAAAGUUGGUGGUAAACUCCAUCUAAGGCUAAAUACUGGCACGAGUCCGAUAGCGAACAAGUACCGUGAGGGAAAGUUGAAAAGUACUCUGAAGAGAGAGUUAACAGUGCGUGAAACCGCUUAGAGGCAAACGGGUGUAGUCAAGCUGCAAGCCCAUUGAAAUAGGGGGGCCAGAAUGGCGUGAGUCUGAGCACAUGAAGCUAGCUUACAAGGUGGGUCUGAAUUGGCCUAUUCGGUUCGCAAGAAUUGGAUCUGUGAAGUGGCAUUCGUCGCUGCAGGCUUUGUGGUUAGUUGCUCUGCUGGCCCUCUCACUUUCUUUGGGCGUAUGUCACGACCGUCGUUGCUGUCGGUCUGCUUCGUCUAAACCGUAGUGUAGGCAGCCUUGUGCUGCUCAUACUGCGGAGGCAGGUAGCUGGGCCGGGUCUCUUCGCGGGGCCUGGUUUGGUGUUAUUGCUGGGCGAAGUGGUACCUGUAACUGUGCAGUGCGGCGGGGCUGGCGGUGCAUUGCAUUUCCGGGCGUGCUAAAACAUGUUGGCGUGGCGUGAGUCUGGCGACUUGUUGCUAUCUUUGAUGGCCUUGUAGCGGCUCUGUUGCGGUUUGGCGUGUGGCUGCGUCUGGGCAUUCUUUGCGUUGAGCCAAUAGUCUGUGGCGUAGUGGUAGACGAUCCACCCGACCCGUCUUGAAACACGGACCAAGGAGUUUAACAUGUGCGCAAGUCAAUGAGUAGUGCUUAGCAUACGAAACUCAAAGGCGCAGUGAAAGUAAAGGGUGACCUAGUCGCCUGAGGUGAGAUCCUGCUAUUUCUCUUGCAUUCUGAUCAGACACUAGAGUGGUAGGCGCAUCACCGGCCCGUCCCAUGGUGUAGUUGGGCUUGCCUAGCAGCACCGGGGCGGAGCAAGAGCGUACAUGUUGAGACCCGAAAGAUGGUGAACUAUGCUUGCGCAGGUUGAAGCCGGAGGAAACUCUGGUGGAGGACCGUAGCGAUUCUGACGUGCAAAUCGAUCGUAUGAUGUGAGUAUAGGGGCGAAAGACUAAUCGAACCAUCUAGUAGCUGGUUCCCUCCGAAGUUUCCCUCAGGAUAGCUGGCGCUCGUAAUGUUUAAACAGUUUUAUCCGGUAAAGCGAAUGAUUAGAGGUCUUGGUGCCUAAAUGGUGUCAACCUAUUCUCAAACUUUAAAUGGGUGAGAAGCUGGGCUCGCUUAAUUGGAGUCUGGCCGUCGAAUGUGAGUGCCAAGUGGGCCAUUUUUGGUAAGCAGAACUGGCGCUGUGGGAUGAACCAAACGCCUGGUUAAGGUGCCUAACACGACGCUCAUGAGAUACCACAAAAGGUGUUGGUUGAUAUAGACAGCAGGACGGUGGCCCUGGUAGUCGGAAUCCGCUAAGGAGUGUGUAACAAC